AUGUAUGGAAUCGACAGGGGAGAUGAUUCGAUUAUUCGUGUCGAGUAUUUUGUCGAAAAAGUGAAUGGAGAAACGAAAGACAUGCCUAUGAAGAUGACAACACACCAGGAGAUGAGCGUCACUGGUGCCCACGCAAUUGAACCUCGUUUAGCACCUUCGAA
rnacentral:sRNA from 1 species